CCUACGGGAGGCAGCAGUGGGGAAUAUUGGUCAAUGGACGCAAGUCUGAACCAGCCAUGCCGCGUGCAGGAAGACGGCUCUAUGAGUUGUAAACUGCUUUUGUACGGGGGUAAACGCAGAUAUGAGUAUCUGUAUGAAAGUAUCGUACGAAUAAGGAUCGGAUAACUCCGUGCCAGCAGCCGCGGUAAUACGGAGGAUUCAAGCGUUAUCCGGAUUUAUUGGGUUUAAAGGGAGCGUAGGCGGUCGGAUAAGUUAGAGGUGAAAUCCCGAGGCUCAACCUCGGAAUUGCAUCUGAUACUGGUCGGCUAGAGAGUAGUAGCGGUAGGCAGAAUGUAUGGUGUAGCGGUGAAAUGCUUAGAGAUCAGACAGAACACCGAUUGCGAAGGCAGCUUACCAAGCUACUUCUGACGUUGAGGCACGAAAGCGUGGGGAGCAAACAGGAUUAGAUACCCUUGUAGUC
rnacentral:rRNA from 1 species